UACGGAGGAUCCAAGCGUUAUCCGGAUUUAUUGGGUUUAAAGGGUGCGUAGGCGGCCUAUUAAGUCAGGGGUGAAAGACGGUAGCUUAACUAUCGCGGUUCCUUUGAUACUGAUGGGCUUGAAUACACUAGAGGUAGGCGGAAUGUGACAAGUAGCGGUGAAAUGCAUAGAUAUGUCACAGAACACCAAUUGCGAAGGCAGCUUACUAUGGUGCAAUUGACGCUGAGGCACGAAAGCGUGGGGAUCAAACAGG
rnacentral:rRNA from 1 species